GAGGCCAGGGAUCGAAUCCACAACCUCAUGGUUCCCAGUCGGAUUUGUUUCCACUGCGCCACGACGGGAACUCCCUAUCUGCCGCUCUUUGAGGUGCCCCCAGGAGCCCCAGAGUGAGUUUUGUAGGUACUGUGUAGAUUACAUUUUUUUUUAAAAAAAAAGCUUUUUCGAGAUAUACUUUCUAUACCGUACACUCCCCUUGUUUAAAGUGUGUCAUUCUGUCAUUUUUAGCAUAUUCACAGAAUUGUACAACUAUCACCAGAAUCAAUUUUAUAACAUUUUCGUCCUCAGUUAGAAAGGCUGUACCCAUUAGCAGUCACUCCCCUUUUCCCUCGACCCCCCCACUUCCCCCCAAAUCCUAACAAACCAUCAUCUACUGUCACUGUAGAUUUUCCUGCUCUGUAGAUAUAAACGGAAUCAUAUGCAUGUGUGGCUUUUUGUUUAACAUAAUGUUUUCAAGAUUUAUCUACAUUCCAGAGCAUGUCGGUACUUAUUUUCUUUUUAUUGCUGAAUAUGAUUCCAGUAUAUGGAUAUGUAACAUUUUAUUCAUUAAUCAGUGGAUAAUCAGUUUCACGUCGUAUUAUGAAUAAUGCUGCUAUGAACAUUUGUGGAUAAGGCUUUGUGUUGACACGUUUUCAUUUCUUUGGAGUGUAUGCCUAGGAGUGAAAUUGCCAGGUGAUGGCGUAACUCUGUUUAAUCAUUUAAGGACCUGCCAGGAUAUUGUCCAAAGCGUCUACACCAUUUCACAGUCCCCCCCGCAGAGUGUGAAGGCUCCAGUUUCUCCACGAGCUCACCAACAUUUGUUUUCCAUUUAUUUUGACUGUAGCCAUUCUGGUGAGUGCGAAGUGGCUUGUGGGUGUUUUUUCGCUUAUGUUCUAUGUUAGACCACCUCAAACGUAUUUUCCAAAUCUAGCGACAGCUAUCCAGUUUUCUUCAUGUGACAGAGUAACUGACAAAAAGGAAUGGGAGCCAGGAUUGGAGAGGGUUGACAUGAGGUGGGGGUGGGCGCUGAGAGAGUGUGGGGUGUUGUAGGAGACACAUCUGGCCUUGGUGCAUAAAGGGAUGAAGGCGUCUGAGCCCAUCUGGCCUCCAGCAUUGAAGAGAGCUCAGGGAAGUGCUUGAGCGGAACUGCUUACAGGUGUAUUUUCUUUCUGGGAAACUUCCAUUAUGAAGAAGACAGGGCUACCGGGUAAGCAGAAUCACAUUUGAUAUUUAUGCUACUAAGUGGAGAACGGUUAAAUAUAAACUUAAAUCUGUGCUAGAAUGACAGCCAUAUAAAAACAUGUCUGUGUGUGGACAGGCCCUGAAGGAAAGCAGGGGAAAAUAAACAUUUGUGUUAGGGAGUUGGGAUCGCGAGGUUUAAGAAAAUGUUUAAUUCUUUUUUUUCUUUGUUUUGCUUUUUAGGGCUGUACUCCCAGCAUAUGGGGAUUCCUGGGCUAGGGGUCGAAUCAGAGCUACAGCGGCCGGCCUAUGCCACAGCAACUCAGGAUCCGAGCCGCGUCUGCAACCUAUACCGCAGCACAUGGCAAUGCCGGAACCAUGACCCACUGGGCGAGGCCAGGGAUCGAACCCACAUCCUCAUGGAUACUAGUUGGAUUCAUUUCCACUGCGCCACGACAGGAAGGCCUUCUUUUUUCCUUUAUUGAUGUAACACUGCUUGUGCUAUACCCAGUCACAACGCAGGAAAAAAAGAAUUCGCAUUAGCAGCUCGUCACUCCCUACCCAGCCCGCCUCACUCCUCAUGCUUCCCCCACACUAAGCCUCCCACUGGCCUCAGACGGGUCUGAUCUGUGGUUCUCUACCUUGCAUAUGCCAUCCUCCAUCUCCGGGGUGCCCUUGGCUCCCACACUUCCUUUGCUGAAUUCUUCCUUGUUCUUUUUUAGCCUAGCUCCAAUGUCCCCUCCCACGAAGCCAUGCUCAUGGAGUCUCCCCGGAAGACAGGUCACCCUUUCCUCCAUCCUGCUGCUACUCCCAGCCUGACUUCUGCUGUAGCCAGCAAGGGGCCUGACACACAGUGCCUUAUUGCUGGAGAUGGCAUUGUUCCCUCCUGGCACCCACACCUUUGCAAGAUGACUUUGUAGCACCUCUCAAGACGCGGGAUCUGUUUCUUCCCUGCUAACUGGCUCUCCGGCCUCUAGGCCCCACCCAUUCCCUCCGGUCCACUGUUGCCAGUGACUGUUUUCCGCAUGAGUCUGAUCAUACCCGCUUAAACGUCCUCAGUGAUUUUCCAUCACCCCGGAAAGCAGUCCGCACUCCUGUGGCAGCCGUGGCCCUGAUGGAGCUGGACCUGCUCAUGUUUUCAGCCCCACUGAACAGCUUCCUCUGAGGAAGCUGUCUCUGCUUGGAGCAUAAACCCCUCUCUGCCCUUGUGGCAAACUUCUGCUCAACUUUCAGGUGUCAGGUAGACUCACCUCCUCUAGGAAACCUUCCCUCACCCCAGCCCUCCGACCCUGAAUUAGUCAGGGCCCCUCCUCUGCAGGCCCAGGGCAUCCUGACGCUCUAACCUGCAUCCCGGCACUGUUCCGUCUCUGCAACUGUCUCCAUUACCAGACUGGGCAACAGGACCCUGGCACAAAGUGGGGCUCAUUAAAUAUUUGAGGACUGACUGAAUAUCCGCCCCCCAAAGCCCUAUGUGGUGAUGGUCUGUUUAUCUGCCCGAGCAAGCAUCUUGUGGGCUGAGGGAUCGGUCCUGCCUCUUCAUGUUCCACUGUGCCAGGCACAUGAGCCGUGGGGAACAUCCAACAGCAAGAGGGUGACAGCUGGCUGUUGUUAGGGGUUCUGGAGCCUGGCAAAAGAGAGUCGACAACAGCACUUCGAGUUAAGUAUGCAGAAUGUACUCUGGAGUGGCCUCUCCCUGUGCCAACAGCAAGUGAACGGGAAGGGUAGAAACAAGCUGAUAAGAACCUGGGUCUCCAAGACGAGCUAGCUAAUUAGUUGAAACUGAUUCUAGAUUCAUUUCCCCCUUGAGUUAUUGUUAAAAUACUGCUAUCUAGGCUGUUUCACAAGAGAGAAAAGUCUUUGGUCUUCCUACUGAUUAGCCUUUUGACAAUCCAAUUUCCCAUCUUUGUACUGGUGAAGUUUUUUUUGUUUGUUUUUUGUUUUUUUGUUUUGUUUUGUUUUUUGUUUUUCUUUUCUAGGGAUGCACCUGCAGCAUACGGAAGUUCCCAGGCUAGGGGUCUAAUUGGAUCUGCAGCCGCUGGCCUACGCCAGAGCCACAACAACUCAGUAUCCGAGCCGCAUCUGCGACCCACACCAUAGCUCAUGGCAAAGCCGGAUCCUUAACCUACUGAGCAAGACCGGGGAUUGAACCCGCAACUUCAUGGUUCCUAGUUGGAUUCGUUAACCACUGAGCCACGAUGGGAACUCCCUGUGCUGGUGAAUAUUAACUAAAAGUUGUAAAAUUCCUGGGAUUGUCUAACCCAGCAAUUGCCAUCUGGAUGCAUGAGAGUCAGAAUUCUGAUUUGAUAAAUUAUCCGACUUGAUAAAUCUGGUCUUGUGUAAAUCACAUAUGAGGUUUAAAUCCUCAUAAACUGUUCUUGAAUACCUCCAGGGACUAGGAGCUGACUGUCUAUGAUGUACCACAUUCUGUUCUGGGUGACAUUAGGGGAGUCUUCCUUGUACUGAGCUGAAAUGCAUCUCUCUGGAACUACACUUGGUGCUAGUUCCCCCCUACGGAGUAGAGAUGUCCUUGCCUUUUCCCACAUGCAAUUCCUUCAGGUUUUUUUGUUUUUGUUUUUUUCUUUUUUCUUUUUAGGGCUGUACCUGAGACAUAUGGACGCUCCCAGGCUAGGGGUCGAAUUGGAGCUACAGCUGCUGGCCUAUACCACAGCCACAGCAACGUCAGAUCUGAGCUGAGUGUCCACCUACACCACAGCUCACAGCAACUUGGAUCUUUAACCCCCUGAGCAGGGCCAGGGAUCGAGAACCAUGUCCUCAUGGAUACCAGUCAGGUUUGUUUCUGUUGCACCACGACGCACACUCCCUCCUUCGGCUCUUUUUUUCUUUUUCUUUUUUUGUUCUUCUUAGGGUCGCACCCACAGUAUAUGGACGUUCCCAGGCUAGGCGUUGAAUUGGAGCUACAGCUGCCAGCCUACACCACAGCCACAGCAAUGCGGGGUUCAAGCUGAGUCUAUGACCUACACCACCGCUCACAGCAAUGCCAGAUCCUUAACCCACUGACUGAGGCCAGGGAUCGAACCUGCGUCCUCAUGGAUGCUAGUUGGGUUCAUUAACCCCUGAGCCACAAUGGGAACUCCUCCUUCAGCUCCUAAAGGCUGACCAUGUCUGCCCUUUCUGCCCACCUUCCUUGUGUUUUUUCUUACACAAACCCCUUCUGUUCUCACACAGAAUGUCCAAACGAGAGAUGGCAGGGAACUUAAUGAAGACUUACCCAGUCUCCUCUUGCACUGUCCCCACUUCCAGGAGCGUUAACUUCUGCUACCUGGACGGGAGACUGCUGUCCACAGCGUGGGGUAACUUUCCCGUGAUGAGGGGCAGGGCUGACAUGCCACCACCACUUUGACCAAUCUUAUUGGGUAACAUAAUGUCCAAGCAGAAAGCGCCCUCCUUUUUCAGAUGGAGAAAAGGGGCUAUUGAGCCAGGAAAUAUUUGCCCAGGGCUUUCCACCCCAACGCACUGCUGUAUAAGCACUCAAGACAACCCGGUAUGCAGAGCAGAAGACAGUCCCAAUUUUCUCAACUGCACACAGUUAAUUGCUCCAGAACCUUUUAGUGAGAUGUUAAUAAUUUCCCCCCGAUCAGCAACACCAGCUGUCGUGAACCAGUUUUCAUACACAUGGGUCUACUCUUCCACUGGUCCACUUGGACACCAGAGUGCCAGCACCAUGCUGGCUUCACUGCCACUGCUUUAUAAAUACACUGUGAAGCCUGGGCAAGGACACCUCCCACCUGUGCCAUAACAUACAGAUUUUGGAAUCCACUUCAGUUCUGUUUUCUAAAAAGUUGAGAUUUUGAGAAUUUUAUAAAUAAUUUGUUGAAAAUGAUCUUUAUGAUAUCAAGUCUUCCUAUCCAUCAAUAAUCGCAUGUCUCCAUUUAUUUAGGCUUUAACGCCUUUUGGCAGUUUAAUGAUUUUCUCCACUGAGGUCGUGAACAUCUUUUAACUGAAGUGUAGCUGAACAGUAUUAUAUAAGUUACAGGUGUACAAAAUAUUGAUUCACAAUUUUUAAGGGCUAUACUCCAUUUACAGUUAUUAUAAGAGAUUGGCUAUAUUCCCUGUGUUGUAUUGUGGCUUUUUAUUUUUUUGUCAUUUUCUAGGGCCGCUUCCCGUGGCACAUGGAGGUUCCCAGGUAAGGGGUCUAAUAGGAGCUGUAGCCACCGGCCUACGCCACAGCCACAGCAACGCGGGAUCUGAGCCGUGUCUGCGGCCUACACCACAGCUCAUGGCAAUGCCGGAUCCUUAACCCACUGAGUGAGGCCAGGGAUCAACCUGAAACCUCAUGGUUCCUAGUCAGAUUUGUUAACCACUGAGCCAUGACAGAAAUCCUGGCUUAUUUUAUACACAAUAGUUUGUACCUCGUUUUUUAUUUAAAGAUAUUUAUUCUGUAACUCCUCUGACUUGAAUAAUCAUCUCUUAUAUAAUAAAGAUGUGACAUCUUCAUUUUUCAC
rnacentral:lncRNA from 1 species